rnacentral:lncRNA from 1 species
AGAUCUCCGGAAAUUUUCCACUAACGCUCCGAGCGCCAGAGCCGCCCGGGCGCAGCCCGCCUCUGCGCGCCCGCGACCCACGUGACGUUGACUUUUGCUGAUGGAGCCUCUCUGAAGGGCAAAUUCAAAGUACAGCUGGGUGCUGCAGCACUGGAGUGCGAACUUGUGGCUGUGGUUAUGAAGGAGCCUCGUCAGCUAUGCCUUUAGCCCCUGGUGAAGCAGUGCCAGUCACACUUUGCCAGUCAAACGGAGAGGCAGCAGUAGUAAGACCAGACCAAAUCAAACCAAACCAAGCAAACCACGGGGAAUGGAGGUCAUGUGAGCACACAGCAUAAAGGCAGCUGCCCACAAGCCAGGAAGAGAAGCAUCAUCAGAAACCGACCAUACUGGCUUCCUGAUCUCAGACUUUCAGCCUCCAGAAUGAAAUCAGGAGGAUUGCCAACAGGUAUGCUCAGUGGAGGCUGGGGAAGAAUCCGGUGCUGAUGGUGAAGAUGAGUUCCUUUGUCCAUCAUCCUGAGCAGAGCAGUUUCAUGGAUACAUUUGGUGCCACUGAUAACACACAAGACUUGCAAGUUUAAGUUACUUUUACUACUUUCUGCUGCAGUGUACGAUUCGAUAAUUUUCUAAGUAUCUUAAGCAUUUUCAAAUCAAAACAAAAAUACCAAAGGAAACAUCUAAUAAAACUUCAAUGUCUU